rnacentral:rRNA from 1 species
AUGAUGAAUUUUAAGGACGAUGCUCCUGGAAAGAAAGACUCUGUUCUCUUAACAAGGAUGGAAAGUAUAACAUCAUACAAAAACCAACAUGGACAACCCACAUCUGGAUGUCAUGAGCAUGGGCGUGAUGCCUUCACUGCUGACUCCAUUGCAAUGUCCCGUGCAAUAUCUCUUGCCCCUGAUAUGUGGGUCGUGAGGGUCGUUUUUUAA